AACGCUGGCGGCGUGCCUAACACAUGCAAGUCGAGCGAGAAAAGGGGGGCAACUCCCUGAGUAAAGCGGCGCACGGGUGAGUAACACGUGGGUAAUCUGCCCUGGAGUGGGGAAUAACACCGGGAAACCGGUGCUAAUACCGCAUACGAUAGCGGGAUCUGCGGAUUUCGUUAUGAAAGGAGCAAUCCGCUCUAGGAGGAGCCCGCGGCUGAUUAGCUAGUUGGUGAGGUAAUGGCUCACCAAGGCUACGAUCAGUAUCCGGUCUGAGAGGACGGUCGGACACACUGGAACUGAGACACGGUCCAGACUCCUACGGGAGGCAGCAGUGGGGAAUUUUUGGCAAUGGGGGCAACCCUGACCAAGCAACGCCGCGUGGGUGAUGAAGUCUCUUGGGACGUAAAACCCUUUCGACGGGGAAGAAACCGCAAGGUUGACGGUACCCGUAGAAGAAGCCCCGGC
rnacentral:rRNA from 1 species